GGUAGGGUGGCUGAGGGGUUAGGCGGAAGGUUGUAGCCCUUUGGACGAAGGUUCGAGUCCUUUCUCUACCA
rnacentral:tRNA from 1 species